UAUNGGUCAAUGGACGAGAGUCUGAACCAGCNAAGUCGCGUGAGGGAUUAAGGCCCUACGGGUCGUAAACCUCUUUUGCCGGGGAGCAGGGCGGCGGCCGUGUCCGCCGUUUGAGCGUACCCGGAGAAAAAGCACCGGCUAACUCCGUGCCAGCAGCCGCGGUAAUACGGAGGAUGCGGGCGUUAUCCGGAUUUAUUGGUUUUAAAGGGUGCGUAGGCGGGCUUUUAAGUCAGCGGUAAAAAUUCGGGGCUCAACCCCGUCCGGCCGUUGAAACUGGGGGCCUUGAGUGGGCGAGAAGAAGGCGGAAUGCGUGGUGUAGCGGUGAAAUGCAUAGAUAUCACGCAGAACCCCGAUUGCGAAGGCAGCCUUCCGGCGCCCUACUGACGCUGAGGCACGAAAGUGCGGGGAUCGAAC
rnacentral:rRNA from 1 species